UACGUAGGGCGCAAGCGUUGUCCGGAAUUAUUGGGCGUAAAGAGCUCGUAGGCGGUUUGUCGCGUCUGCUGUGAAAACCUAAGGCUCAACCUUGGGCUUGCAGUGGGUACGGGCAGACUAGAGUGCGGUAGGGGUGACUGGAAUUCCUGGUGUAGCGGUGGAAUGCGCAGAUAUCAGGAGGAACACCGAUGGCGAAGGCAGGUCACUGGGCCGCAACUGACGCUGAGGAGCGAAAGCCAGGGUAGCAAACGGG
rnacentral:rRNA from 1 species